rnacentral:rRNA from 1 species
UACGGAGGUCCCGAGCGUUGUCCGGAUUUAUUGGGCGUAAAGCGAGCGCAGGUGGUUUAUUAAGUCUGGUGUAAAAGGCAGUGGCUCAACCAUUGUAUGCAUUGGAAACUGGUAGACUUGAGUGCAGGAGAGGAGAGUGGAAUUCCAUGUGUAGCGGUGAAAUGCGUAGAUAUAUGGAGGAACACCGGUGGCGAAAGCGGCUCUCUGGCCUGUAACUGACACUGAGGCUCGAAAGCGUGGGUAGCAAACAGG